rnacentral:rRNA from 1 species
UGCGGACGGGUGAGUAAUGCCUGGGAAACUGCCUGAUGGAGGGGGAUAACUACUGGAAACGGUAGCUAAUACCGCAUAACGUCGCAAGACCAAAGAGGGGGACCUUCGGGCCUCUUGCCAUCGGAUGUGCCCAGAUGGGAUUAGCUAGUAGGUGGGGUAACGGCUCACCUAGGCGACGAUCCCUAGCUGGUCUGAGAGGAUGACCAGCCACACUGGAACUGAGACACGGUCCAG